rnacentral:rRNA from 1 species
CGCGUAGGCGGCCACUGCAAGUCGGUUGUGAAAUCUCCGGGCUUAACCCGGAAAGGUCAAUCGAUACUGCAGGGCUAGAGUGCAGAAGGGGCAACUGGAAUUCUCGGUGUAGCGGUGAAAUGCGUAGAUAUCGAGAGGAACACCUGCGGCGAAGGCGGGUUGCUGGGCUGACACUGACGCUGAAGCGCGAAAGCUAGGGGAGCGAACGG